rnacentral:lncRNA from 1 species
AAACUGAAUACAACAAUCAAUGUAUUAUUUUUAAUUAUUGCUUGUAAUCAUUAUCAUAAUGUUGAUUCGAAUUAUUACCAAAUAAAACAGAAUCUCGAAAAUAUUUCAAAGUGAUCUGUCAUGCAUUAAUAUUAAUUGCUUAUGGGUCUGCUGCACCAUUUUUCCAAGAAAAUCAUGUGGAGCACCUCUCCCAUUUAAUCACCAUUCUUUUCUUUUCAUUUUAUUCACGUGCACCCCCCUUUUUUUCUUUUCUUCUUUUUUUCGCUUUGCUUUUC